rnacentral:lncRNA from 1 species
CAACUAAAAGUCAUGAUUUUAUUUUAAAAUAUUUGUUUACAUCAUAUUGGCACAUUAUUUACAGUUAAUUGCCAAAUAACACAUGGCUUUUCUACUAAUUUUGCAAUUUUAAAAGCGAUCUUUGAGACCUUUCAAUAAGGACUUAAGAUUUCGACUUGUAGCAAAUUCAUUACUCCUAGUUUUCCCAACAAACAAAAGGUUGAUGUGGCACAAGAAUUUCGUUUUUUGAUGACGUGGAAAGUUUUUUCUACCUCAUGAUAAAUGAUGUCAUUUUGUUCAUAAACACAAAAAUAAAUAAAACUAAAAAUAAAAAUUUAUAUUUGUUUCUUUCUCUCUACACCUAAAAGUUGUACUCCUUUGAAUCCAUAAAAUCAUCGUUUAACGCCUGUUAACAUCUACAAGUGGUCUUUGGCUUUGCGAUCGCCACAUCGAAAGGGACGGUAAAUGGGGAUAUCAAUCCAAUUUGAAACCAAUAGGUUUUUCCAGAUAGUCCUAAAAGAGGAGGGUUGAAGGCCAAAAUUUUCUAGCUUGAAAAUAAUUCAGUCAGAUUUGUCCGCAAUUACCCGACAUUCGCAACUCAGAAUUCAUGUAGGUUGGCCCUAGGGAUGUCAUCCGGUUCGAAACCGAGGAAAUGGCCCAAUAAUAGAAUGAGUUAGGCUUGAUUGACAUCCCUAAUGGUAAAUCUAUUGCUUAAUUAGCCAAAACUUUUUAAUGUACAUCAGCUGGAAGUGGCUGUUUUGGCCAUGAAUGGUAGCGACCUAAAGGGCAAAGCGUGGCUGUUUUGGCCAUGAAUGGUAGCGACCUAAAGGGCAAAGCCACCACCUUACCGAGCAACAAUCGAUCAUUGUAUGGUGAUCACUAUGGAUGUCAGCUUGUCGAAGUGGCAAAAACUUAUGUUACACAUUCGCGGAAUUACUUCGUUUUUGUUUCACAUGAUUUUUUUGAUUGUUGGAAAAAUUGGGAGCGACGAUUUUGCUAUAAAUACAAAAUUUUAGGUCCUUAUGAAACAUAUCAAAGAUUGUGUCAAAAUUGCAAAUCUGUUGAAAAGUUGGCAUAAUUUGUCAAUUAACCUUUGUAUUUAUUCAAACAUAAGUUGAAAUUAUAGACGAAUAUAGUAGGUUUUGUAAAGUGUAACUUUUUAUGUCACAAUAUUAUGAACAUAUAGUUCUUUUAUUGUAAAAUUGUUAUAAUGUCAUAGCACAUUGUAUCUUUACUAAUGUAAUUUUAUGAUAAAUAGUUGAUCUCUUGUAUAUUAACUCCAUCAUGACUACUAUACAUUAUGCAUGGAGAUGAUUGAUCAACACAAUGUCUAUGUCAAAUAUGUGUUGAACAUCCAAACUCUAAAAUAUUGUAUAGAUUCAUUGUACUUUAACUCCUUACCGCUAGUAAAAAAGCAUGAUGUAUAUUUUCUCAAGUCAAGCUCAUUUAGUGAAACUCAUUAACUAAAUAAGUAGCUCAAGCUUGAUAUCACUUGAUUAACUAACUCGUGAGCAAGUUCAUUAUUCUAAUUAGAUGGGAAAAAAUUAUUUACUUGGUAUGGCUUGUUUACUUGUAUUUUAAUUUGUAAUAAUAAUAAAUUCUAG